UUCCUGGGGUGCCGUAAGGUGAGCCUGCGCUAGGCGGGUUCAGGGUAACGGUCAGCCACGCUCAGUGUAGUACCCUCCUGGUGCGACGGUGUAUCCACCGGUGGCUGGGUGGCAGUGCGCUCAGUCCUCAGUGCGACAAUUGGAGGGGAGUUGGGCCUCUCCCUCAUUGGGGGCUGUGCCCCCCUCUCCCUUGCGCAGUCGCGUAAGAUAUUCCCCUUUGGCCCAUGGAGGGGAUGCUCUUCCCCUGGGGCACAAAGGGGGGUAGGACUUGGGGGGCGAUGAUGUAUAGUUCCGUUCUAUGAAAUUCCUAAGACGUUGGCGAUUUGGGUUUGGGGUUCGCUAUUCUGGAGAGCAUGGUUGGGGAGAGGGCUGCGCGUCGUGGUGCUCUUUUGUUACCAAAACACCACUUGGAAUGCAUGUCAUACUUAUGGUGGCCUGGGUUGGUGGCGCUAUGAAAUACAUUUCAUCAGCGCUUUGCGGUUUUGCCCUCUGUAGCGUGGAAUCGGAUGGACUUCGGCCCCUGGCUCUCCAUCGUAAUCCGCCCUGUGGCGCGUAAAGGGGGUUUGUCCUCCUCUCCUUGGGGGGCAGCUCCACCCCUGCAGCCUCGCAGCAAUUUUUAAGCUCAAACGCUGCCAUCAUGGUGGGGGCUCACUCUGCC